UACGAAGGGGGCUAGCGUUGUUCGGAAUUACUGGGCGUAAAGCGCGCGUAGGCGGCGACCUUUGUCAGAGGUGAAAUCCCGAGGCUCAACUUCGGAAUUGCCUUUGAAACGGGGUUGCUAGAGUCCGAGAGAGGAUGGCGGAAUUCCUAGUGUAGAGGUGAAAUUCGUAGAUAUUAGGAAGAACACCAGUGGCGAAGGCGGCCAUCUGGCUCGGUACUGACGCUCAGGCGCGAAAGCGUGGGGAGCAAACAGG
rnacentral:rRNA from 1 species